UAACCGUUAUGUUCUCCUCGAGCGACAAUCACGAACUGACUUGAUGUAGAGCGGCAUUGAGCGGAUCGAGGGAGACGCCAUGUGCCUUUAAUGAUAAAAGCUUUCUACCGGAAUGAGCAUCUUUCGAAGAACCUGCUAUCGUAUACAGAAAUAAGCCAAUUUCAGUGCUCUUAUUGCAAGCUUUCAAGGCGACACUUGAUAGAACACGGAACACUUUCAAGCUAAAACCAGCCUUGGGAGGCAUCUUCAAAUCCACACUGGCCUUUCAAGCAGAACUGGAGUCAUAAGAAGCAUAUGCUAGUAUCUAAUAAUCAUCUUACGCGACACAUGCUAACAGGAUCGUAAAAAGGAUUAGUAUUUACAUCUGAACGGGUCGUGUGCCUAAAAAAGGUUGCGGGUCAUAAAAAGAUUUCGUAAAGGGAAAAGUACCAUUUAAGGUAUGAAACCUGAAGAACGUCACGCCUAUUAAAAUCAGUUGCAAAAUUACUCUUUACCUAUUUACACCUCCGCUUAUUGUCAUAUUAAGUAACCAAAAGUUGUCCAAUGUCCAAAGUCCUUUACUGCCAGUUCAAGUCGUCAAUCA